rnacentral:rRNA from 1 species
GAUGAACGCUAGCGGCAGGCUUAAUACAUGCAAGUCGAGGGGGCAGCGAGGGGUAGCAAUACUCGCUGGCGACCGGCAAACGGGUGCGGAACACGUACGCAACCUUCCCAAAACUGGUGAAUACGCCCUCCGAAAGGAGGAUUAAUACACCGUAACAUAAUGAAGUGGCAUCACUUUAUUAUUAUAGCUCCGGUCGGUUUUGGAUGGGCGUGCGCCUGAUUAGGUAGUUGGCGGGGUAACGGCCCACCAAGCCUGCGAUCAGUAACUGGUGUGAGAGCACGACCAGUCACGACGGGCACUGAGACGACGGGCCCGACUCCGUACGGGAGGCAGCAGUAAGGAA